rnacentral:tRNA from 1 species
GCCGUGUGGUGUAGUGGUCAAGUGCUUGCACUGCCACUCAAAUGGUCAGGAGUUCGAGCCCCCUGGGGGGCA